rnacentral:lncRNA from 1 species
CUAUGAUUCAUAUCCCCAGAUAUUCUCUGGCAUUCUCACUAUAUAGUUUCCUUUUUUUUUUUUUUUUUUUUGUACUGUAUUGCUUUUUUUUUUUUUUUUCCCCCAGAAAGAGAAAAUCUUACUGGAGAAAACCAUGCCAAGCCUGAGAACAUUGAGUACCCAAGGCCAAGCUCAACAAGGGCAGAGAACUUUCCGGCAAGAAAUUAUCCCAUCUGUAACAAGGCCAGUCUCAUGGUCUACAGCUCACAAUUGGCAAGAAGAUAAUUAUCAAGAAGAUCGAGAUCCCAAAAAGCUAAGGAGCUACUGUCCUGGAAGGGAAGAAAACCCACUCCUGGCUUCAAAAGACAGCCAUUGGCUCUAUAACCCUGGCCAGAGUCCAGGUAGGAGGUCUCCCAUGUUCCCCACUCUGGGGCUCCAACAUCAAUGUGUCUCUACCUCUGAAUCUCUUUCUUCUUGCUCCUAAGUUACUCUUUCCUUAUAUCUUCACUUUGAAUUCCUGAUAAGGGAUAUUUGAUCAGCCCUAUAAGUCCCCAUAAUUUCUAAUGGGGCAGAGCCUUCUUGCCAGGACACCCCGAAGGUUUUGGGCUCCCCGUUGACUGUUUUUGGGUCAAGCAACAAUCCAGCUUUAAUCAGGAUGAGGGGAGGUGUCACUGGGAACAGAUCAUGGCCACUGCUCUAUAAGGCCUUGUCUUGGAAUCUUCCUGGGAGAGACUGUAGGUGAGGAUGUUUCCUGAGAAGUUAGUCUCCACUCUCAAGUAUGGUUGGAUGGAUUUAGGGAAAUAAAUUGGACCAAGCUAUCUGCUAACUUACCAGAUCCCUCUUGGAAUAGGUUAGUCAGAUGACUGCUUGUGUUUAGGAAUUGUUUGGCCAUGGGAUAUAAGAAAGCUAAUUGUCUCAUGCAUAUUUAGACCCUAAAAUUCUGGCCUUAUUAGUCUUAGCUCAACCAGACUAAACUUGUAAUAGUGAUUGUGAAAAGCACACACCCUAGCACAGUGUCUUUAUUUCUGGUCUCCCACAAACUCUUACUUGUCCCAAGUCAGGCACCAGGGAUCAAAAGACAGAUAAGACUUGCAACCUGUCCUUGCAGAGAUCACAUAGGAAUAGAAGUUAUAUUGUUUGAUAUAAAUACCUGAAUUGAAAUGGCAUUGGGCUGGGAGCCAAGAAGCCUGAAUUCUGGUGCUGACUCUGUCACACAUUUGUUGCAUAAGUGUGGCUCCAUUAUUUAAAGGCUCUGAACCAUAUUAAUUUUAAAAUGGAGAUAGUAAAACUCACUCUGCUUGGCUCUGUGGUUGUCAGAGGGACUAAAUAAGAUAAUACAUGUGAAAAUACUUUAUUUUAAAUUGCUAAGGCAAAACAAGGCUUUAAAAAAUUAUUGCUUUAGUUUUGGGUAUUAUUGGCAGAACCGAACCAUUCAUUACUGGCGCCAUGCUAGUUCCUAUCAUUAAAUACAUUCUUUGUCCUCUCAAGGUCUUUGUGAAUAAGUUUAAAAGAAAUCUGAUCACGUUGGAAACGUGCAUUUUAGUGGUAUGCAUUUGGUUUCAAAGAACAUCUGAUAAAGGCUUUAAAAGUUUAAAAGUACAAACUGAAUAUUAAAAACACCAGUUAAAAGUUAAUGAAGCAGGGCCCAUCAGGUAAGAGAACCUAUUUACUGAGGGUGAGACAGCGCUUCUGUCUUUUGUAAGAAUUUUCUAACUCUCAGAGUUAGAAAAAAAAAAUUCCAAAGGGAUUGAUUGGUACAGUGCCUAAAGCCUUAUUAAAGCUAUACAAGACUUUCAACCAUAGGCAUGCUAGGUUUCAGAUUGAUUAUGAUUUUAAGUGAUUUAUUCAUGCCAAGUAAAGUACAUGAACAAAAGUUCCUUUUCUGAUUUUAGUCUGGUAAGAUGAUCUAUGAGUUGGUCAUUCACCUAGCAAAGUAACAAGGGC